UAGAGUUAAAAUCAAUGACACAAUUCUGAUGUCAAAAUUAGUUAAGAAAGAGGAAUGACAUUUCAAUGUCAUCCAAAGAAAGAAAGUGUCACCCCAAGAUAAUGAUUUAGCAAGGACAAAAACAAGAGGCUGUUAUGGUGCGGUGGUAGUGUGGACCCAUGGACCGAGAAACCUGGGUUCAAAUCUCAACUGCUCCAAAGAAAUCGUGUCAUUAUGAAGAGUCUUACAGAAGAAGCAGAGUCAUAAAUUUGUUUAACCAAUCAUUCUAACUAUUUUCUUGUGGGAUUUUGUUGGAAAAACAACGCUCCACUUUUCAAAGAAACUCAUUUGAACAGAAGAGGCAACGAACUCUGUUUCUGUGUGGUUACCUGAUGGGGCUGUGUUCAGGGAAAUCAACCUCUACUGUUGCUUCCAGAUUGAACAAAGAGGAUACAAGUGCAGAGAAUGUAGAAAGUGCAAAGCCUGUGGAAAGUUUUGUUGAAGGAAAUCUUUUAAAAACAGAUGUCAAAUGCGUGUCAGGUGUUACUACCAAUACAGAUAUGAGCAUUACUAAUCUGAACAGCAAAUCGUAUUCAGGAACAUUUGGAGAAAAGAUGGUGGAAUCGGUGUCCUAUGUGAAUGAAAAUGAUGGUUUAGAGAUUGUAGAUAUUGAUUGAAAUUAUAUUUUCAAUGUAUAUAAAAUUGUGAAUGCUGUCUAAUGUAUUUUGUAUAAA